rnacentral:rRNA from 1 species
UGUUGCAGUUAAAAAGCUCGUAGUCGAACCUUGGGCCUGGCUGGCCGGUCCGCCUCACCGCGUGUACUGGUCCGGCCGGGCCUUUCCUUCUGGGGAACCUCAUGCCCUUCACUGGGCGUGCUGGGGAACCAGGACUUUUACUUUGAAAAAAUUAGAGUGUUCAAAGCAGGCCUUUGCUCGAAUACAUUAGCAUGGAAUAAUAGAAUAGGACGUGUGGUUCUAUUUUGUUGGUUUCUAGGACCGCCGUAAUGAUUAAUAGGGAUAGUCGGGGGCAUCAGUAUUCAAGCGUCAGAGGUGAAAUUCUUGGAUUGCUUGAAGACUAACUACUGCGAAAGCAUUUGCCAAGGAUGUUUUCAUUAAUCAGUGAACGAAAGUUAGGGGAUCGAAGACGAUCAGAUACCGUCGUAGUCUUAACCAUAAACUAUGCCGACUAGGGAUCGGGCGGUGUUAGUAUUUUGACCCGCUCGGCACCUUACGAGAAAUCAAAGUUUUUGGGUUCUGGGGG